CCAAAAAGAGGAAAAAGAGGAUUUUACCCUCCAUUUCCGUCGACCCAUUUACACAUGCCCACCGGAGUGGGUUUCGACCAUUUCCACCAUUUUUUCAGGAGAAAUUCAACCAUCCAUCACCUGCAACCUCUUCCACCAUCUCCCAUCUUCCAUCUCCACCCAAAUUUGAGGGGUUUUAGGUCCAAAAUAGUGUAAAACCGUGCGAGUGACCCAAGGAGUUUUGACGGCGAUUCCGCCAUUCCGGCUAGUCUCACCACCCACCACCACCCUUAAUCAAUUUCCCUUGGACCCAAGAACAAGAUCCAACUGGUGGUUGGGGCGUUGGAACACCAAGGAAGCCGAAUUGAAGGACACCUACCUUAGGGUUUCGUUAGGUGCGAGCCAAUUUGAGGGCCUUCCUGGCCAAAUUAGAAUCGACCACAGUGCGUUUCAGACGCUGAUUAUGAUUUACAGUGUGAAGGAGUUUUUGGAAGAUGGGGUUUAUAUACCGACUGAUGUGAAGGUGAAGCAGAUGAAGAGGGUGAAGUCGGACUGUGUGACAGUGCAGGAGAAGUUUAGCAACGAUAGGGAUCCAGUGGUGACUGCUUAUGAGGUUAGGGAUAAACCCUCGACAUUGAAGGCGAAGGAUUGGGACUAAGUUGUGGUGGUUUUCGUCUUACUAAGAUUUUCAAUAAGAUUAUGGGGUUUUUCAUGCGAUUCGAAGAUGAUAGUGUGGAAUAAGCAAAGAUUGUGAAACCGUGGAAUGUGAAGAUCAUCUCGGUUGGUUGGUAGAAUUUAUUUGAUUUAAUCGGUUACACGUAAAAGUUCCACUGAAUUAUGCUCGUAGGAAAAAAAAAUUAGUUGUCUUAAUGUCUUAAUUUGCUGUUGCAAUGGGAAAAAAUGGUUCCCUUUCAUUUAUGCUUGUUAUUGAUAUGUAAAUGUAUUUGCUGUGAUAGUUUUGUUUUAAGCAAGUUGUGUUCAAAUGUGAGCCUUUGGAUCAUAUUCCAUAUGGCAUUUAGAUUAGAUUGUAAUGAGUCAUAACUCAUGACAAGUGUAAGCAUCUUACAUGAUGACUUAAGAAUGAAUGGUUGUGAUUGCUUUGUAAUAGGGUGAGUGGAAUUGUCUUUCACUCCUCUAACUAUCAUAUAUGCUGAAGAGGUUUUCAGUAUGUAAGUGAAGUGAAUAGAAU